GAAAUGCGAUAAGUAGUGUGAAUUGCAGAAUUUAGUAAAUUAUCGAAUCUUUGAAUGCACAUUGCGCCCUUUGGUAUUCCUUAGGGCAUGCCUGUUUGAGCGUCAUUCAAACCUUCAAGCUCUGCUUGGUGUUAGGUGUCUGUCCUGCCUCCCUGGGGCGCGGGACUCGCCUUAAAUUCAUUGGCGGCUGGUAUGUUGGCUUUGAGCGCAGCAGAAACGCGAUACUCGAGGCUGGCGGGCCAGCUCCUAGAAGCUACAGACUUAUGAUUUUGACCUCGGAUUAGGUAGGGAUACCUGCUGAACUUAA
rnacentral:misc_RNA from 1 species